GGACGGGUGAGUAAUGCCUGGGAAAUUGCCCUGAUGUGGGGGAUAACCAUUGGAAACGAUGGCUAAUACCGCAUAAUGUCUACGGACCAAAGAGGGGGACCUUCGGGCCUCUCGCUUCAGGAUAUGCCCAGGUGGGAUUAGCUAGUUGGUGAGGUAAUGGCUCACCAAGGCGACGAUCCCUAGCUGGUCUGAGAGGAUGAUCAGCCACACUGGAACUGAGACACGGUCCAGACUCCUACGGGAGGCAGCAGUGGGGAAUAUUGCACAAUGGGCGCAAGCCUGAUGCAGCCAUGCCGCGUGUAUGAAGAAGGCCUUCGGGUUGUAAAGUACUUUCAGUCGUGAGGAAGGCGUUGAAGUUAAUAGCUUCNUCGNUUGANGNUAGCGACAGAAGAAGCACCGGCUAACUCCGUGCCAGCAGCCGCGGUAAUACGGAGGGUGCGAGCGUUAAUCGGAAUUACUGGGCGUAAAGCGCAUGCAGGUGGUUUGUUAAGUCNNAUGUGAAAGCCCGGGGCUCANNCUCGGAACCGCAUUUGAAACUGGCAGGCUAGAGUACUGNANAGGGGGGUANAAUUUCAGGUGUAGCGGNGAAAUGNGUANAGAUCUGA
rnacentral:rRNA from 1 species